AUUGAACGCUGGCGGCAUGCUUUACACAUGCAAGUCGAACGGUAACAGGGUGCUUGCACCGCUGACGAGUGGCGAACGGGUGAGUAAUACAUCGGAAUGUACCCAGUAAUGGGGGAUAACGCUUCGAAAGGAGUGCUAAUACCGCAUACGCCCUGAGGGGGAAAGGGGGGGACCGCAAGGCCUCACGUUAUUGGAGCAGCCGAUGGCUGAUUAGCUAGUUGGUGGGGUAAAGGCUCACCAAGGCGACGAUCAGUAGCGGGUCUUCGAGGACGAUCCGCCACACUGGAACUGAGACACGGUCCAGACUCCUACGGGAGGCAGCGGUGGGGAAUCUUGCGCAAUGCGCGAAAGCGUGACGCAGCAACGCCGCGUGCGGGAAGACGGCCUUCGGGUUGUAAACCGCUUUCAGUUGGGACGAAGCUUCGCCGGUGAAUAGCCGGCUGGAGUGACGGUACCUUCACAAGAAGCCCCGGCUAACUACGUGCCAGCCGCCGCCAUAAUAC
rnacentral:rRNA from 1 species